rnacentral:lncRNA from 1 species
GAAGAGCAUGAAAAAAGAAUGAAAGAGUAGACAAGCAAGAGCAGGAGAGUCUAGUCAAUAGGGCAGAUCUGUGAGCAUUCAAGAGCAACCAUCCAUUCAUAAUUCCUUUUUACUGGCUUAGUUUGGUUGGGUUGCCUUGCAUUGCUUUGCUUCCCUUCCCUUCCAUCAACUCAGUGAUAUGGUGUCUGCAUUACUCAGCAGCCCAUGGAAAAAGGAGGCCCUCUUGCCCUUUCUAGGGUGGACCCUCCCUUGCCCCAAAUUCCUGAACCACUAUCUGGUGGAGGUGGAGC